UGAGGAAUCUUCCGCAAUGGGCGAAAGCCUGACGGAGCGACACCGCGUGGAGGACGAAGGCCUUUUGGUUGUAAACUCCUUUUCUGGGGGAAUAAAUGAUGAAGGUACCCCAGGAAUAAGCACCGGCUAACUACGUGCCAGCAGCCGCGGUAAUACGUAGGGUGCAAGCGUUAUCCGGAAUUAUUGGGCGUAAAGAGUUCGUAGGCGGUUUGGAAAGUUUGUAGUUAAAUCUGGUCGCUCAACGAUCAAC
rnacentral:rRNA from 1 species